rnacentral:pre_miRNA from 1 species
CUGACUCCCAGUCUCUCCUUAGGGCACUACGGGCAAAGCUGGGGACCCGGGAAGAGACGUAAGUAAGGGGAGAUG